rfam:Dengue virus type 1 strain 16007 polyprotein precursor, mRNA, complete cds.
CGGGGCCCAACACCAGGGGAAGCUGUACCCUGGUGGUAAGGACUAGAGGUUAGAGGAGACCCCCCGCGUAAC